AGAAAUACUUUGAAAAAGAAAAGUAGUUUAAAUAAAGUUUCACAGAGAGGAAGCUGUAGGCUGAAAGGCUUCUAAAUGGAAUUUAAAUGAAGUGCUCUUUGGAGUUAUUGGCCGAACUGAUAGUAGGUUGUAUCGGGUUCACCCGUUAUAGUGAUAGAACAUAGUGUUGUGUUUGAUGAGUGAGGUCAAAAGAUCUAAAAAGAGUGGAACCACGGAGUAGUACUUCGUCUCUAUA
rnacentral:ncRNA from 1 species